AUGGAGAAGGUGUCAGACACGGGCGAUCCCUCAACAGCGGCGACCCCCGCCGCAGCCAACCUGUUUCAGCCGCGGAGAGCCGCCGUGCUGGUCUGCCUCUUCCACGACGCUGCCGGCGAGCUCCGUGUCCUCCUCACCAAGCGCGCUUCCUCACUCUCCACCCACUCCGGGGAGGUUGCAUUGCCCGGAGGAAAGGCAGAGGAGGGUGAUGCUGAUGAUGCAGCAACGGCAUUAAGGGAGGCAAAGGAGGAGAUUGGGCUUGAUCCAACCUUGGUCACUGUCGUCUCCUCGCUUGAGCACUUCUUGUCCAAGCAUCUUCUGGUAGUUGUUCCUGUUGUUGGCAUACUCUCAGAUAUACAGGCUUUCAAACCUGUCCUUGAUGUUGAUGAGGUGGACGACAUUUUUGAUGUACCCCUAGAGAUGUUCCUCAAGGAUGAGCGCAGGAGAUCCGAGGAGCGAGAAUGGAUGGGGCAGGCGUUCACACUUCACCACUUUGAUUAUGAGAAAGGCGACAAGACGUAUGUAAUCUGGGGUCUGACUGCCGGCAUCUUGAUUCAUGCGGCUUCAGUUGUAUACCAGCGGCCACCAGACUUUGCGGAGCGAAGAGUACAAUUCAACCUGCCGAAGUGCUCAAAGGAGCCUUCUCCAAUGCCAUGA
rnacentral:rRNA from 1 species